UGGUGCGGCUCAUUUGGCUCAAGCAUCCUCAAUUACCUCAGUUGGACAGUUUUUUGGAUUGGAUAGAAGCAGUAUAAAUCUACUGAUUGGACCUAAAGUCGGAUCUGAUCUUAGAUGACUUAGGGCUUUAAUUAAAAAGGUCUUAAGAGGCUAAUCCAUAAUUUAGACUGGGUUUAAGUCUGAAGGGUGAGUGCAUAGUGAGACAUGGAUGUCCAUGGGCUC
rnacentral:lncRNA from 1 species